AGAUGCUUUCUUGUCUCUACCAUC
rnacentral:siRNA from 1 species